AUUGAACGCUGGCGGCAUGCCUUACACAUGCAAGUCGAACGGCAGCGCGGACUUCGGUCUGGCGGCGAGUGGCGAACGGGUGAGUAAUACAUCGGAACGUACCCUGUUGUGGGGGAUAACUAGUCGAAAGAUUAGCUAAUACCGCAUACGACCUGAGGGUGAAAGUGGGGGACCGCAAGGCCUCACGCCGCAGGAGCGGCCGAUGUCUGAUUAGCUAGUUGGUGGGGUAAAGGCCCACCAAGGCGACGAUCAGUAGCUGGUCUGAGAGGACGAUCAGCCACACUGGGACUGAGACACGGCCCAGACUCCUACGGGAGGCAGCAGUGGGGAAUUUUGGACAAUGGGGGCAACCCUGAUCCAGCAAUGCCGCGUGUGUGAAGAAGGCCUUCGGGUUGUAAAGCACUUUUGUCCGGAAAGAAAUCGCGCUGGUUAAUACCUGGCGUGGAUGACGGUACCGGAAGAAUAAGCACCGGCUAACUACGUG
rnacentral:rRNA from 1 species